UACGUGGGGGGCAAGCGUUGUCCGGAUUUAUUGGGCGUAAAGCGCUCGCAGGUGGUCCGUCGCGUCGUGCGUGAAAGACCCCGGCUCAACUGGGGAGGGUCACUCGAUACUGAUCGACUCGAAGGCAGGAGAGGGAAGCGGAAUUCCCGGUGUAGUGGUGAAAUGCGUAGAGAUCGGGAGGAACACCUGUGGCGAAGGCGGCCGACUGGGCCGACCCGUGACGCUGAGGCGCGAAGGCGUGGGGAGCGAA
rnacentral:rRNA from 1 species